rnacentral:tRNA from 1 species
GGAGCAGUACCCAAGUUGGUGAAGGGGCUUCCCUGCUAAGGAAGUAGGUCGGGUAACUGGCGCGAGAGUUCGAGUCUCUCCUGCUCCGCCA